UGGGGAAUUUUGGACAAUGGGCGCAAGCCUGAUCCAGCCAUGCCGCGUGCGGGAAGAAGGCCUUCGGGUUGUAAACCGCUUUUGUCAGGGAAGAAAUCUUCUGGGCUAAUACCUCGGGAGGAUGACGGUACCUGAAGAAUAAGCACCGGCUAACUACGUGCC
rnacentral:rRNA from 1 species